rnacentral:rRNA from 1 species
GACGAACGCUGGCGGCAGGCCUAACACAUGCAAGUCGAGCGGGGUUUUCGGACCUAGCGGCGGACGGGUGAGUAAUGCGUAGGAAGCUACCCGAUAGAGGGGGAUACCAGUUGGAAACGACUGUUAAUACCGCAUAAUGUCUACGGACCAAAGUGUGGGACCUUCGGGCCACACGCUAUCGGAUGCGCCUACGUGGGAUUAGCUAGUUGGUGAGGUAAUGGCUCACCAAGGCGACGAUCCCUAGCUGGUUUGAGAGGAUGAUCAGCCACACUGGAACUGAGACACGGUCCAGACUCCUACGGGAGGCAGCAGUGGGGAAUAUCGGACAAUGGGCGCAAGCCUGAUCCAGCCAUGCCGCGUGUGUGAAGAAGGCCUUCGGGUUGUAAAGCACUUUCAGUAGGGAGGAAGGGUUAAGUGUUAAUAGUACUUAACUUUGACGUUACCUACAGAAGAAGCACCGGCUAACUCUGUGCCAGCCGCCGCAGUAAGAC